GCGGGACUGAAAAGCAUAUAAUCUAUUCAAACGCUAACCACUGGUAGCACUGGAAGAGGCACCCUAUUGAGUCGGACGAUCGGAUGGAACUGAUGGCUGAUGGGACUGGCUAUGUUGGCGCACAUCCCUACCUUUCUGAGCAACUACCCGACACUCUUAAAUUUGAUGGCUUGGCUUUCCACACCUGAAGCAUAUAUCACUGCCCGC
rnacentral:lncRNA from 1 species